GCGGAGAAAGGCCGCUCUCAGGCUGGGCGCCGACAAGCAGCGGGACGGAAAAGGUACGGCCGGCGGAGGAAGAAGGGGGAGGUGAUGCGCGGUGGCGGCGGCGGGUCCGCGCCGGAGCUAGGCCGCGGCGGCGGGUGGUGAUGGUUCUGGGGCCGGGCGGCGGCGGGUGGUUGUACUACGGGGAGACGCACGUUUAGGCUGGAAGGGAGACGAGGUCGCGCUGGAAGGUAGGGGAGGUCACGCCGGACGGGAGAGGAGGCCGCGCGGGAGGAGAGCGUGGUGGAGGAGGACGUUCGAGGAGGUAGGGGUCGAACAGGGACUUACGCCUGCGACGUGGCGCGUCCAACUUAAAGUGGGACCUAGGGACUCCAUACCGACGAGGCCGAGGAGGGGGCGAACGACGGUCCAGACAGAGAGGAAGGAGGGGAUGAGCGGCAGGACACGCCACCACCUGCACCGAUGAACUACCUCACUUCGGCCGGAGGCUCGUGGCCGUCAACGUGAUGUUGGACGUUUUUCUUCUUGUCGGCGUUCAAGUCUUAGUCUUUUUACUUUUCAAGUUCUUCUUGUUUCCUACAUCGAGCAUACAACAAACUUUGAUAGAAGUUAAAGAAGUCAUCGAGUAUGUGUAAAACGGUUUUAGAUCAUGAAAAGUCUUACCAUUUCAACUAUCAACCGGAUCUCCCUGUUGGUACAACUACCGCUAACUUUUUCCUAAGACUUUAUUAUAAUAACUCUGACUUCAGGUUCAAACUAUUACGUGUUACAGUCUCCUAAGGUCCCGAAAAAGACUCCACCAACUACCGAAAGCUCUUUACGCAAGUAUAGAGUGUUCAAAGUCCCCAAGUUCAAGUAGAUAUAUUCCUUACGGAUAAAACAACGUGUAGACACACACUUUCUCCGCGACUUUGGAAUACACGAACGAUAAAGAAAAGAACAUUGUGGAUCGGUGUAGUGCACCAAAGUUAGUGCCAAUAAAAACCGAUGGUACCGGGCUGUGUAGGAGGUACAGUCACGGCGGCAGUACUGGAUCGGAUGUAAACGACCAACGACGAUCGACGACAACAACGCAGGACGGAGCGGCAGAUUGACUACAAUCACGCGACGACGACGUCAAGUCGAUCUCACCCUCUAUCUAAAGAAACUCUCAAAUCGACGACGACGACAGGAAUUAAAAACAAAAACUUGAACAA
rnacentral:rRNA from 1 species